ACGAAAGAUAAAACAAAUUAUUAAUGUGUGUAGCCAAUCUGUGGAAUUUGGUUGUGCGAUCUAAAUUUAACGUAUAAAGUUGGACACAGUUUUUUUUUUUUUUUUGGUUUCGAAAUUCCUCUAUAGUAUUUCUUAUAAAUUUAUCGUAUGUGUUGUCUAUUGUAUCUACAUAUUAUGCUAUAUGUAUACGCCUUGGAAACCCAACUUGAUUAACUUUUUAUAAAGUUCUGAUAAAAGGAGAAAUUGGCAGUAAAAAA
rnacentral:lncRNA from 1 species